rnacentral:rRNA from 1 species
UGGGGGAUAUUGCACAAUGGGGGGAAACCCUGAUGCAGCGACGCCGCGUGAGGGAAGACGGUUUUCGGAUUGUAAACCUCUGUCUUUGGGGACGAAUUGAGACGGUACCCAAGGAGGAAGCUCCGGCUAACUACGUGCC